UAGCUCAGUUGGUAGAGUGCCUGCCUCGCAUGCACAAGACCCUGGGUUCAAUUCCCAG
rnacentral:tRNA from 1 species